rnacentral:tRNA from 1 species
GGCUGGAUAGCUCAGUUGGUUAGAGUAUGGAGUUGAUAACACCAAGGUUGCAGGUUCGAUCGCUGUAUGGGACA